rnacentral:lncRNA from 1 species
ACUCUCGUGAGCUGUCGCAUCGCUGACCAGCCUGCCAUGCUCUCUGAGUGUCAACUGGGACCUGACCCAGCACCGGACUCAUUCCAUUUGGAAGAUGGGUGUAAUACCAGGCCUCAGUCCCCCAUCUCUACUCCAGCCAUGUUCAGCUGUGAGUUUACCAUCAUAACUUCCUGAAUCUCAAGGGACAGCAAUCAGAUCCUUGCCAGAUGGCUAGGCAAUGGGAUGCAAUUUUUACAUGAAAUCACUGUAGACACUGUGACCAAUGGAACUACCAUUUUCAUGGAGACCAGCUGAGCCCUGCUAACUGAAAAUUCAGAGCAUCUCCAGCCAUUGUAUCCAGUUGAUGAAGUUGAUGCUCUCCAACCAUACCACAUUAUUUUGAAUCCAAAUUCAUAGUUUACUUUCCAGUGUCAUCCUGAGGAUUGGAGGAAGGCACAGGAAAUAUCAGCGAUUAUCCUCCAUUAUCAGAUUAUUAUAUUUUUUUGUGUUAACAUUUCUAGCGGUAAAAUAGCUUGGAGAGGUUUAAACCAUCUCUUAACCCACAUUCUUUUGUAAUUCUUUUUCAAUUUAAAAUCGAUGAUAUCAAUGGACUUCAAUAUUCUACUAUUUAAUCCCUUGUAUAGAUCUGCAAUCUUUCAGCUGUUUAUUUCACCCUGAGUUUCCAGUUUGGGCAAAUAAAGAGUUGCCACCAUGCACAGGUGACUCACCAUGCACAUGGGACUUCCACUAUGAUAGAAGGUCAUGGUGUGCCUGAUGGAUUAGGCAAAGCUCCCCCACAUUCACCUCCAGGACUUUCCUCUUUCCCUUGGGCACGUGCUUGCCAUCUGCUGGGCUAUGUGUUCCAUGAGGUUAGAGGCUGUGGCUGCCAUGUCCACCACUCUGUUUCUAGCACUGAAUCAGGGCCUGGCACCCAGAAACUACAGAAUAAAUAUUUAUUGAGUGAAUGCCUAGAGACUAAUCAUCAGCGACGUAAUCAUGUUAUUUGUCCUUUUCUACAACAAAUGUUUCUCAAAGGUCAGAAAUGAGAAGAUGAAACCAGGACCAACGUGGAUUAAAUAGAGGUAUGACAUAAUUUCCUAUUGUCUCCGUCCAUCUGCAGUCAAGGUUAUAUUCACAUCUCAGAUCUUCAUCAGAAUGGCUUUCCCUCUUCUCUUAAAAGAAAACAGAAGAGUUCUGUGCAGUUAAGAGGUUGAAUGAAAAAAGGGAGGGAGGGUUCAGAAGGAAAAGUCCAAACAUCCUCUUCCCCAUGGAAAUAAUGAUAAUAGGAAUAAUGAGAAGGCUAAAUUAUUUGCUUACUAUGUGGCACUGCACUUUAUUAUUUAAUUAAUCCUCAUGGCAAGCCUAUGAGGUAGAUAAUAUCAUGCCCAGUUGUGGGGGAAAAAAAGGGGGGAAUUUAGAAGAAUGUAAAUAACUUGCCCAAGCUGGUAGGUAGAGAAGCCGGAAUUCCACCCCAGGUCUGUCUGAGUCCAGAGUUUAACCACCAACCCUUAGCUGGUUUGAAUAUUUAAGGGCAGGGUCCAAGUCUCAUUCAUCUUUGUUUAACUCAUAGCACCUGGCCUAAGGUCACACCUGCCACGUGGAAACAGCAAAUAUUAGUUGAUUCAAAAGUAGAGCUAGUCAAAGGCCCUGGGAUAGGGUUACUUUACUGGAAAACAGGGCAUGCAUGAAAGGAAAUGUAAAAGCCAACCAAGAAAAAGCAGAGUGGCAUAAGUGGUCUUAUAUCACACCAAAGACAGAGGUUAACCUUAAAUGUGUUUGGAAUUCAUAGCAUGAAGUUAAAAAAGUAUUUUGAAGCGGCUACACUGUAAGAAUGAUAAAUCAUGGGAAACAGCUGGAAGGAUCCUGAAGUUCUUUCUUCUGACUUGUUCUUUUUCCAAGGACUGUAGAUUCCUUAGCUUAGGCCAGCUGGGGUGAGUUCUUGUUGGUGUGUGAGUAUAUGGUUUUCACAUGUAAAGCAAAUUUAAGACUCGGUUAUGAUAGAUUUGUGCUGUGUUUGUGCCCCAAUCUUCAGGCCACAUUUCUACUGUGCUGUCUUAGCCAGCUUCUCGUGGGCAGGGCUGUCAAGUCAACUCCCAGACUUGGUGGGUUGUCCGCUCUAUCAGCCUCCUUCAGAAUGUUCGUGGUGGCA